rnacentral:tRNA from 1 species
GCCCCGGUGGCGGAAUCGGUAGACGCAGCGGACUUAAAAUCCGCUUUUCCGAAAGGGGAGUGCCGGUUCGAGUCCGGCCCGGGGCACCA